CUUCAGCGACCCGAGCCACAGCGGUUCCGUGCGGUCGCGGCCGUACGUCGCCAGCAGUGCCUGCGCCUC
rnacentral:antisense_RNA from 1 species